UGGCUCAGAACGAACGCUGGCGGCAUGCUUAACACAUGCAAGUCGAACGAGAAAGCACCUACGGGUGUGAGUAGAGUGGCGCACGGGUGAGUAACACGUAGGUGACCUGCCUUUUAGUGGAAGAUAACCAGGAGAAAUUCUGGCUAAUACCGCAUACGAAUCACAAUUUUGGAAGUAGUUAUAGAAAGAGUGCCUCUCCUUGGAAGCACUUGCUAAAAGAUGGGCCUGCGUAGCAUUAGCUAGAUGGUGGGGUAAUGGCCUACCAUGGCUACGAUGCUUAGCUGGUCUGAGAGGAUGAUCCGCCACACUGGAACUGAGACACGGUCCAGACUCCUACGGGAGGCAGCAGUGGGGAAUAUUGCGCAAUGGGCGAAAGCCUGACGCAGCAAUGCCGCGUGAGUGAGGAAGGCCUUCGGGUUGAAAAGCUCUGUCAGAUAGGAAGAAUUGCCAAGGGUCCAAUAGGCCCUUGGAGUGACGGUACUAUCAAAGGAAGCACCGGCUAACUUCGUGCCAGCAGCCGCGGUAAUACGAAGGGUGCAAGCGUUGUUCGGAUUUAUUGGGCGUAAAGCGCGCGCAGGCGGGCAGCUAAGUCAGAUGUGAAAUCUCGGGGCUCAACGGCGCCACUGCGUCUGAAACUGGUUGCCUAGAGUUUCAGAGGAC
rnacentral:rRNA from 1 species